GGGUUUAGGGUUAGCAGGGUUUAGGGUAGGGUUAGGUAGGGUUUAGGGUUAGGUAGGGUUUAGGGUUAGGUAGGGUUUAGGGUUAUGUAGGGUUUAGGGUUAGUAGGGUUUAGGGCUAGAAAAAGGUUUUAGGGUAAGGUAGGGUUUAGGGUUAGUAGGAUUUAGGGUUAGGGUUAGGUAGGGUUUAGAAUUAGGUAGGGUUUAGUAUUAGCAUGGUUUAGGGUUAAAAAGGGUUUAGGGCUAGUAGGGUUUAGGGUUAGUAGGAUUUAAGGCUAGAAAGGGUUUAGGGUUAGGUAGGAUUUAGGGUUAGGCAGGGUUUAAGGUUAGGUGAGGUUUAGGGUUAGAAGGGGUUUAGGGUUAGGUAGGGUUUAGGGUUAGGUAGGUUUAGGGUUUGGUAGGGUUUAGGGUUCGGUAGAGUUUAGAGUUAGGUAGGGUUUAGGGUUAGAAAGGGUUUAGGGUUAGCAUGGUUUAGGGUUAGAAAGGGUUAAUAGGAUUUAAGGCUAGAAAGGGUUUAGGGUUAGGUAGGGUUUAGGGUUAGGUUUUAGGUUGUGUUUUAGGGUUAGGAAGAGUUUAGGGUUAGGUAGGGUUUAGGGUUAAAUAGGGUUUAGGGUUAGGUAGGGUUUACGUUUAGGGUUAGGUAGGUUUACAAUUAGAUAGGUUUAGGGUUUAGGUAGUAUGAAGGGUUUAUGUAGGGUUUAGGGUUAGAUAGGGUUAAGGUCUAGGUUUAUGUAAGGUUUAGGGUUAGGUAGGAUUUAGGGUUUUAGGCAGUAGAAAAGGUUUAGCGUUUGGUUUAUGUUGGAUUUAAGGUUUGACUUUGAAUAAUGCUUAGGAUUAUAGGGUUUAGGGUUUGUUUGUUUUUUUGUUUAUGCAUUUAGUGCUGAGUUUUUGGGAUAAAAUUUUAUAUUAAUAUUAUUGAUUUAUAGUUUUUCUUAAAAUGUUAAAAAUUUUAAAGUGAUU
rnacentral:lncRNA from 1 species